GGCCCUGCAUACAGUACAGCAAACUGCACUACCUGCAGGGUGCUCAUCCACCAUGAAAGUCCUCUAUUAUCUCAUUCUUUACAUGAAUGAAAUGUGAAUACAGUUCCUCGUUCUCAAAAACCAUUACACUGAUUGGAUUUUGUCUGGAAGCCACCGAAUGAGUUUUUCCACACAAUUAUUUUCAACAGAUUGAAAAUGUGUGCCUCUCUUCUGUCAGGUGGUGACGGAAGCCGCUCUUGAGUUUUAAGGAUCUUAAAAAAUAGCAAUGUUUUGUAACCUUUUUUCUUUCCUUUUUUUUUUUGAAGUCUUCAGCCUGCAGGAGAUGGGGAAGAAAAUCAACAAUCUAACAAAUUCCUUUCUUUUUCUUUUGCCAGAAUAUUUUUUUCUGGAACACUUACUGGGUUUAUUGUGUUCGAUGACUGGAAUUGAUUUCAACAUAAACACACGUGUUGAAGACAUUCAUUCAUAAGGAAAAGAUCAAGGGGCCAAAACUAUGUUACAUUAACAUAUAUACCAGCAACACAGAAGCCUCAAGAGGCAGGGAAAUUUAGUGGAUGGGGUGUGGGACUUGCACUGGGAAAUGUAAGUUCAGAUCCUUGCUUGGACAUGAAGCUACUGGGGCAGUGACUGUUUCAGUGGUUAUGAGGAAGAGGAGAUUGCUGAUAUGAGCUCUUUGGAUGACUGGCAGUGUUUUAUUAAAUUAGUUAACAUAGUAUUCUAGGAAGCCUGUAGUUCUGAAUCAAAUACCGUGGCCUCAGGAAUUUUCAACAACAACCACACCACCUUUUGGUUUAAGGCAGAAUCAUAAAAUCACGGAACUUUAGAGCUGGAAGGGACCACGAGGGUCAUUUAGACCAACCCCCUGCAAUGCAGGAAUCUAUUGCUCAAAGUUGGGCUCAAGCCCACAUUGAAAAGAAAAGUGGAUGGCAGGGGCGUAGAGCUUGGAGAGGAACAAAUUCCAUGACAAGGCACAAAAACCAGCAGUGUACCAGAAUUGGUUUCAUAUUCUUAAAUGGUGUGUCUGCACUUUGUUAAACAAAAGACAGUUGUUUUGAAGCUCUGAACCUUGUAAGAAAGAUGCAAUCUCUGAUCUGAAAACCUGCCCUACAACAGUGCCUCAUUUAGGAGGAAACUGCACUCUGCACAUUUUCAAAAGAAAUCUUUGUUUAUGGUAAAUCAUUUCCCAGAAUGCUUUUGUUAUCUUGCACGUCCACCUUGUAUGAAGGGCAGAGGGAAGUCAAUGGAUUCAGGGAAUCCUAAAUGAUAAUGUGGAUUUGUUUGAAUUUAAAUUUGUUAUGUAAACUUAAUAAAAAUAUGUAUAUUUUAAAAAAAUCCUUGUUUAUGGUCUGUAUACUACAGAGCCAAGUCCUGGCGUUGAAAAUGGUUGCCACAAUGCUGCUCUGAAUCUGAAGACAGUACCUCAAACUGUGAGCACAACAUUAUUCUCCAACCUGUCCAUUCUCUCACUCAAUUGACUACAGGAAAAUAUUGUUUGCAGUGCUUUACUUUGGCAGCAGGUUGGGCUAGAUGACCUUUGGCUGUGGUCUGAUAAUUUAGCUGGAAGUAGAUUCAAUUUCUUUUUAGUUGAAGUGGAUUCAGUUGAUUUCAGUGGAAUGUGCUUUGUGCUUAGGACUGCAACAUAACAUAGACACUUAUUUUUGCAGCCUUAGUUUUAGGAAAUCCUAAGGAUGUUUGUGUGUGUGAGUGUGUGAAAGAGAAAUGAAAGCAGUUUAACAUUUCAUCCAAUGUGCAGCAGGGCAGAAGAACACUCAAAUCUGAGUGUCUCCAAUUAUACAAAAACAAUUUCUUUUAGUGGGGGACAGAGGUUUAGACAUGCUCAGAAGCACUUCCAAAUUUCUCUCUGAUUGGUGGAGGCCUAGCAAGGUGUUGGAAGGGCUUGGGGUCAUUUGGAUGCCAGCAGCUUCCUUCUUAGCCUUUUUGACACGAGAGCUCCAUCAGUUGGACCACAGCAUUGGAGAAGCUGUCACCAGCAGAGUGGUGGGAUCCAGCACUGGAUCUGUUUCACCAACGUCAGACCUCUGUUCAUGAUUUCAGGUUGGUGGAUCCUGUCCAUCCACUCAUUGGAGGAGGAAGAGGAGGGCAUGGGGAGCGCACCGCCCCCAGCACCACAAUCCCGGUGGGGUGCCAUCGUGGCUGUCCCCCCGCUGGGCGCCACACCCCUGUGGGUGGUGUGCCACACCCCCAGGAUGCACACCAUGCCCCCGGGGCGUGCACCAGACAUGCCUCCGCCUGCUCUCCACCACUGCGUCCACUGACCACUUGAAUGCUGUCCCAGGGAUCAUAGGACUGCCCCCUUCUAGGAUGGCAGAUCUCUGCCUUUUCUCUUGGUGGAGAAGGAAGCAAAAUCAUCAGGGACUCUGUCUUGCACACUUUAGCCUCGAUUUAAGUGUGGGUGUUCAGGGUUAGGGUGUAACUGUCUUUGAAAAUGCUUUUUUUUCUGGCACAUGCAUUUUUUCGGGUGGGUGGGAAGGCAAUAGAAUGAAGCUUUAGAGUUGUUGGGUUAAAAACAAAACAAAAUUGAGGCGAUGCCCAUUAUAAUAAAGAGUGUGAAUGUGUGUGCACAAUGAACAUAUGUUUAUAUUCCAAAACACAUGUAAUUAAAGCGGCUAAACUGAAAGAGAGGAAGGAAGAUAUAAUUAAGCACGAAGGUUGUUCAUGCUAGUUGUUCCUCCUCCUUACUUAUCCGAUCAGCCUGUUAAUCAUAUCCCCCCCUCUGUUUCAAGAUGUUUGAAACUUUCCUAAUUUGAGCUGGCAGCUCUUCCCUUAAUGUUAUUUUAAUAGACCUUGUCUUGCUUUCAGAGAGCAAUGAAAGCAAAGGUUUCGUCAAGAAAGAAAAUUGCCUUAUCCCUGCUGAGUUGUUGAUUUAGUACAGCUAUUAAUGACUAAAAGAAGUUAGAGAAAAGAUCUUCCUACUCCAUCUUAAAACCAACUAUAGAGGAAGAAGUCAUCAGGGUCAUUUCCUAAACAUUCCCACAAUGGGCAAGGUACCCUAAGUCCUUCCUUCUCCAUCCUGGUUGGCUCCAUAUGCUUUGGACUACACUUAUCACCAGCUUCAUCCAUCACAAACAAAUAUAUCCUUGUGGGUUGGCCAUCUUGACUACUGUGAAUAAAUGAAUGGUAAGGGAACUGCGGGGGGGGGGGGCGGGUCCUAAUAUCUAUGGAUAUUUUCCUGAAUGGGCAAUUCACUUGCAUGCAUUGUGUCUGAGAUGAACAGGGUGCUCUAUAUAUGAAAUGGAAGUGAAAGAUGAAACUAGGGGGAGCCACCUUGUGGGAGGCUGUUCAAGUUGCUCUCUGGAGAUCUGCUGCCUGCAUUUAUGGGCCUGCUUUCUUCCAGCAGAUGACCUCCGAUGACUUCUAUCUCAUCGGUCUGAUUGCAUUGCUUUGUAGUAUUACUGUAAAACUUACUUUGCUGAGAAUACUCAUUUGCAUUUGAAAUAUCUCAGCUUUGCAUUACCUAAGAUCAGACUCCCACACUGAUAGAUCAGAAGGAGUUUUAAACCAGUUACCGAAAAGCUGUUAUUCCAGAGCUCUAAAUUAUAUUUUCCCAUCUAACUGUUCAUAUGGUCAGAGCAAUGUAAAAGUGUGUGUUAACUGUAUUAUUUGGAUGCCGAAAAACAAGGUCAUCAUGACAUUGACAGCAGUAUUGACAGAUCUUGACAAGUUUAAAGUCAACUGAAAGGUAGAAUUGAAAUGCUUUUCCUCCCCUGAGGAAUAUGUUGGAUAAUGGCAUAUCUUUAUUGCUGUUCAGCUUGCAAAAAGAUUUAAUUUUUUUAUUCUUUCAAACAAUAAACUUGCAAAGUAGGCCAGUGUUCUCAUUUUAUGGAAAAAGGAGUUGUAUUUAAGGCUGCAAUCUUUUGCACAAUUUCUUAUAUCUGUGUAAGUAUGUACAGCAAUGAGCUACAUAUGUGGCCAAACCUUUGAAUCAUUAGGACAUAUUUGUAAAUAAACUUACUAAGGCUCCCAUAGCAGCACAGGAGAGGAAGGAGCUAUCUCAACUACAAAGUCAAUUUUUAAAAUGGUUGGAUUGAACCCAGAUUUCACAGGUCCAUGCUCAGUAUCCUGUUCUCCCUGAAUUGUGCAAAAGAUAAUCACAGAGGAAUAUACCUCGACUGGAAUUCAAAAAGAAUGCAUUGAGAUUUUGCUUUCUGGGUUGGGGAGUGGAUAAGCAGCCUGAUUUCUUUAGAAUUCAUUGGGAGUUGGGUUUUCUCCUUCCUUAGGCUGCUUUUGAAUGUCCUAGUUCAUAACAAAAUAACACAAGCCUGUACAUCCUUGUUUUUACUGCAUUUUGUCAGAUUGUUCAUGACUGGAAUAUUGAUUGUGAGAUUGCAUCUGCAACUGCCAAGCACUCACCUCCCAUCAGUCUAGUUCUCCUUUUCCAUUAUGCCAUAAAUAGAUUGCCCAGCACAAUAGACUGCACAAAUAUGCAAUAUCAGUCAAGUUGCAUGAGCCUGUUUCUGUGUGUCAGUGUGGUUUAAAAGAAAAAGGAAAAGAAUUCAGACACAAAAGCGGACUCAGUGUAUAGAAUUUUGAAAUGCAUUAUAAUUAAUAAUAGUAACAAGUAAGGUGGAGAUCCUUAACAUUUAACAUCCCAGGCUUGAACACAUUCAUUGGAAAUAAAGCCCAUUGAUUGUAAUGGAAAUUACUUCCAGGGUACUGGGAUAAGGGCCCAAGUGCUCACUAAAUGACACGAAUGUAAAAAUCAUCUCUGUUGGCUUCAAAAUAACCAAACUAACUUGCAACCUCAUCUUUUUACUCUGUAUGCACAAAUGAGGGCUGUGAAUGCUGCUUGAAGUAGAACAUGAUGGUGUUUGGGCAAUUGGUGCUGUUCAAACAUGCAACAGAAAUACCUUUUAAGGUAUACAAGCUGAGAAGGACCCCAGUUUGUAUACCUUAAAAUCUUCUGUGCUUAUCAGCCUUGCAGAAGAGGGAUGAAAAACAAAAUAUGAACUGGAGCAUCCAAUCUUUUAGAAGUCUAAAUUGCAUAAUAUCUUUUUUUUAAAAAGGAAGGGAGCUAUGCAUGAGUUGCACUUCCCAGAGACUGAUGUUGGUGUGGAUACCCCCUUACAUAACUCCCCCCACAUGGCUGAUAAGAUAGCUCACUUUGCACUCAUUACAAAUAGUUGAACCCAAAGUGAAUGCCAUGCCCCUGUCCCCAGCUUUGGAGAGCCAGUGUGGUGUAGUGGUUAAGAGCGGUAGUCUCGUAAUCUGGGGAACCGGGUUCGCGUCUCCGCUCCUCCACAUGCAGCUGCUGGGUGACCUUGGGCCAGUCACACUUCUCUGAAGUCUCUCAGCCCCACUCACCUCACAGAGUGUUUGUUGUGGGGGAGGAAGGGAAAGGAGAAUGUUAGCCGCUUUGAGACUCCUUAGGGUAGUGAUAAAGCGGGAUAUCAAAUCCAAACUCAUAUUCCUCAUAUCCUGUACUAGAAUGCUCUUCCAGUUGGGGAGCCAUUUGCAUACGCUAAUUUAUAUGUAGGUAUGAGAAUUAAGAAGUAAUGUAAUGCCUGUAAUUUCAACAGAAAUACAUUUCACCCUGUUAAGUAUGUCUGUGACCAGGUGCUAUAUGUGCCCACUCAGUACUUGGAAAAGAUAGGAAACUUCAAGGGCCCUGAUCCACCUUAUUGUGGCUCAUUGUCUUGAAAACAGGCUUUCAGUGGACCGCAUUUCAAACAGAAGACUCCUUCCAAUAGGAUUGUCCUCUGACAGCCCUACCAGUAGGGUAGGACAAUGGCCGCUGUUAAUGCAAGAAAGAGACCAAACCAAACACUAAAGAAAUUAGCCAGCCUUGAUCUUUCCGGAAGAGAUUUAUCAUUGCUUGCAUGAUGUAUAUGGCAAAUAGCUAUGAUGCUAUAUAUUAAAGCUGUGGGAUAAAAAAAAAGGAAUAUGAAACAUGUACUGUUCUUUUAAGCAAGGUCAAAUUCAGAUGAAAACCACCAGAAGUGGGAUGAGGGGCAGCAUGAAAAGCUAACCAUCAAAGU
rnacentral:lncRNA from 1 species